CACUUUGAAACCAGGAGAGUUUAUUAAAACAAAAGACAGAAAAAAUAAAAUAAAAAAACAGGGUAAAAGGAACAAAAUUGCAACAGUCAGUUGAAGACAUUUUAAUAUUAGGGUUGAAAUGUCAGAAUCAACCAUAAACUAUUCAUUUUUAUUUUCGUUCAAAGCAUUCAUAUACAAUCCUUGCAACUUUAAGAAAAACAAAUUAAGGGGAGUCUAUUCACCAAACAUUGAGUACUGAAUUGACAACCCUCUGUCGGGGUAUUUUAGCCUAUAUUUGUCAACUUUCAGCUCACAGUUUAGGGAAGAUGCUACAAGAAUCUGCUACCAUCUGCCAAUAAACAACCAUGUGAAGUCAAAAAAUAAAAUCAUCCUUUAUCCUAACAUCUCAGAGAUUUAUUUUAAAAAGUGCUGAUUAAUGAGCUGCUUGCACCUUUUUUUUUUUUUUUGCAAGUGAAUUAAUUAAAACUACUGCAAUUAAUGUUCAACCCUGUUUUCAAGUAUCUCCAAAUUAUACUAGUUUGGGGGGUGAUAGAGGGCAUAAAAGUCAAUGGCAAAGAAAAGGGAAAAAUAAAUUAGUAUAUCACUGGAACCUUGUGUUCAUACAUUUAUAUUUUGCCGUUUCAUCACAUGAAGUGGCUGUUCCCCCAUUCCAAAAGUCACGGCGUAGACUAAAUUAAUGGACAUUUAAUGUUUUAAUGUGCCAAUUAUUUUCCCCUUCCCAAGCCAAAAGUAUGUGUAGCUGUAAUUACCCUCAACGUGUGUUUUGGCAUGUGUCACUUUGGAAAUCUACCACAAUUUACAAAUCCUUAUUAAGUUAAUAUGGGGGAUCCUAAUACAAAAGCUAUGCGAUAUUAACAGCCAUUUAUAUAAUUUGCCAAGUAGAUUUAAAAAAAAAAAAAAAAAAUAGUAUCUGUAAAACAUUAGCAAAGCAUAAAAAGGACCAAAAAUAAAAAAAAAUAUAUAUUUAUAUUAAAUUAGAAGUAGCCCAUAGUGACCUCUCAAUACAUACAUUUAUUUUUAUUACAAAUUCAAAUAGCAUCUCUAAUGACACAGACUUUUACACCAGUCAAAAUAUCCAGAAAAUCUGAUUUCAAUUACAUGAGAUAACGUCACCAUAAUUUUACAGGAUAUAUCAAAGUUUACCAUGUUUUGUUUUGUUUUUGCUGGAAGAACUUGAAGGCAUGGUUGAAAUUUUUCCAUUGGAACAUGAAGCUAACAUAACAGCUGUUAUCAUAAAGUGCAAAAAGUUUAUUUCUCAAAGGUGCAACUAAAGCCAGAAUGAUUCAGUUUGCUACCAAGUAGAUUUUUUUUUUUUCCAUGUGCAAGAUCAGCAAACCACCAGAUUACAGUACUUCACAUUUAUUUUAAAGCAUUUCCAUAAGUACCACUCGAACAUGUUUCUUGGGUUUUGUGAAUGAACCCAGCCAGUCUGCAGGAGCAAAGUGCAUGCACAUUAUUAAUGCAAUUUCCCCCAUACAGGUUCAGCAUCCAUGAAAAUUAUCUGGAAUACUGAGACUGGAAGGCCAACACUAUGAUAAACGGGGAUACAGAGACUAUGUUGCAUUUCCCAUUGAAACCUAAUAUAGACACCUGGAAACAACAAAUCAAUCACAUCAAUUCAUUUAUCCAAUACAUGAACAUUUCAGUACAAGUUAAUUUAGGUAAUCAAACGGGAAUGUGUGCAAUUGUUGUGCAAAAAGCCACUGAUCAAUAAAAAAAAUAAAAUAUUAAUAAGUGAUUUUGAGAGGUUUAAUUGGCAUUUUUCAGGUUAAAAAAAAAACAACAAAAAAAAAAACCCAGAUAAUUCUGUAUGUAUGCAACUACAAAAUGCAUUUAGGAAGCUGUAUUGCUGCUGAAAUGUUUUCCUGAAUUUAAAAGGCUGCAUUAGCUAUAUGCAUGUGAAUAACUGAACAGGAUGCUUUCAAACCAAAUUUGCCUAGAAACCCAAGUCAAUACAUUUAAUACUAUUUUUCAAGGUCACCUUUAUUUUAACAAAAUCCAAAACAGCAAUAAAGUAUUACUAUACAUGUUUCACUUCCUAAGAAAAUACAAGUAAAUCAAGCCUUCAUGCUAUAGCCUUCCAAUACAGAAUAUUAAACUAUUCAGGCAGUUCACAAAACCCAAACCAUGUAAACUUUUCGAUGGAGACCAGCACAAUCACAAAAUGGGUCAGAAGUAUUAAAACAUACAUGUGCAAGACUAAAAAAAAUGCUAUUGUUGGAAAGGUAAACACCAUGCCAGCAGGCCAGUUUAUUCUGCUACAGUGCCAGAAAUUUAAGAGUCCUCCGGCAAAAGAAAAAUUAAGUACGUAAAAACACAAACAAGUUACAAAAACCUUUAAUAUUAACUCUACUAGUCCUGUAGAUCAGGCUAUCUGGAGGUGUAAGACACGUCUCCAGAUACUUAGCGGCACUAGGCAAGAACAUUUCUCCCCAGUAAGAAACACUAUAUUUUUAGGUCUACUGUAUUUAUAGAAUCAUAAAGCAUUAACAAUAAGCUACAUAGGAUGGUGUAAAUUAGCCCAUAUUGUUAGCACUUCCUAUCUUAACAAGAACACCAAUGCUAACAAUCUUCUGGACAUUCCAUUCUUUACUACAGCUUUUUUAGAUCAAAAGGUUAAUUCCAUGCACUCCGAUCACUUCCACCUUUAGACAUGGUCGCAAGGAAUGUGAAUGUGCAGCGUUUAAAAACGCUGCAAAUACAGAGAUUUUGAACUUUGCUGCCAGGGUGUAACUCCAGGGCUCCCAACAGUCCUGCUUUUGGGGUCCAGUCUCAACAUACUAAUUUAGUUCCCUGGUUCCAAUGCUGGGAGGUAUGUAAAUGUACCUUCGGCAACCACCAGUCAGUCGGGAACUCUGUUCUGCGCUUACUAAAGUAUAAUCUGUGCAUAAAACAUAUCUUUUGUUGCAACGGACAUACAUCAGCCUCUACGCCUGCAGACCGUGUUGUAACGUGCCUGCAGUGUAAAUGUUAAUGUUUUGCAGCACAUAGCAUAGUACAUGCCUCAACAAAGCAACUGUCAGAGGGAUCUGACGCAGUUCAUUAAAAAAUACUGCACAUGCAGCCUCAGUCCAGUAAUAGUUUCCUAUGAGAAGCAUUAGAUUGGCCAAAUGAUAAAGGCAUAUGAUGAAAAUGUGGGCAGAUAAGGCUGCAGGUAGCCGUAAAUAUAAUGCAUCUAUAAGAUAAAAAAAAAUAAAAAGAUUUAAAAAAAAAAAUAAUAAUAAUUUAAAAUGGUUAUAUUUAAUCCAUAUACAUAAAUACCAGCGAUGGCAUACCAGAGAUAUGAAGUGAAAAAGAUCAUUAAAAUGAGGACAGUGGCCAGAGGAAAAACAGAGAUGGAAGAGGAGACCAUUGAGGAGACCAAUGAGCCUGUGCACUUUCAGAUCGGUUACUUGAUUUCUGCAGAAGUCUGAAAGUAAUUUGCAUUGCUGAAAAAGUUUGAAAACUAGAACAAAAUAUGGCAUCUCCAGUAACUGGUUUAAAACCAAGAACUGUGCAGAACCAAUGACAGCUGAGCCAAUGACAGGCUUAGAAGACUGAUGUUGAAACUGCCUGCAAUCUAAAACGGAGACCUAUAAAAAAAAACCUGCAAACUGUCAGUCAGCAAUCUAAUAUCAAGACUUAAAAAGGAGCACUGAACAACCAGCCAGCCAAUCUAAUAUUCAAGGACCACUAAAGUUACCCAGACCACUUCAUCUCAAUUUAGUAGUCUGUAUGAUGUGAUCCUUUUCUUUUAACUCCAAAAUGUAAAACAUUGCAGGGUUAAUUUAACCUCUAGUGGCCGUCUUCCUCAUAGACAUACCGAGACGCCGCAUUGCGUGCUGAGCAGCAAGGAAUGCGGGCGCCAUCUUGGACCGGUCGCCGCUUUACUGAAGCUAUUGAAGAACCCUUGGAAAGUCCAUCUCACAAAAAAGUAAGUGACGGAUUUGGGGCACUUAUAGUCCUUAAUACCCCUACCCCAGCACACAGUGUUAAUACCCCUACCCCAGUAUACUGGGGUAGGGGUAUUAAGGACUAUGUGUGCUGGGGUAGGGGUAUUGACACUGUAGGGGUAUUAAGGACCAUAAAUGCCCCAAGUCCUUCACUUACCUUUUGUGAGAUGGACUUUCCAAGGGUUUUUCAAUAGCUUCGGUAGAGCGGCGACCGGUCCAAGAUGGCGUCCGCAUUCCUCGGCGCUCAGCACGCAAUGCCAUAGACGUGCGGCGUCUAGGUAUUCUAUGUCUAUGGUCUUCCUGACUAGAGUAAAAGUCUAACUCUGACGCGGACACCGACAGAAUACAAUGUUUUCCAAUGAGGAAGCUUGGAUGUGCAUGCACAUCAAGCCCUCAAUGCUCCCCUAAGGCGAGCAUUGGAUUGGACCAUUGAGGAUGCCAUGCCUCCUUGAUGAUGUUCCAGGAGGUGGAAAGGGGAGCCUUGAAUACAGGUUUGUAUUCCUAAUGCUAUAGUGUUCCUUUAAAAGGAACACUGCAAGCACCAUAACUACUAAAGUUCGCUGAGUGUCCAGGCACCCACCCAUUGUAAGGAGUCAAAAUUGUUUUUGAACAGUUUUACUUCUUUCCUGGGCCUGCUCAACGCCUCCUGCUAAGGACUUAGCUCACUGGAUUAGAGCGAUAACCUAUGUGGGAGCGGGAAGCAGCAUCUAAUGGACCCCAGGUAAAACUUCAAAUUGUUUCACAACAGUUUGACUCCUUAAAAUGAACGAUUGCCAGGGCACUACAAGCACCACAACAUCAAAGUGUAGUAGUUAUGGUGCUUGGAGUAUUCCUACAUGAUUUAUAAAUAAGGAGCCAGCCAUUUAUCUAAAAUCAGCAUAAAAACACCCAAAGCUCUACAUCUAAUCUCAAGCCCUUUGAAGAAGCACUAAGCAGCCAACUAAUAUUAAGUGAAAGCCAACCCUGCACAAUCUACAAUUAGACAUCAACUACCAGAAUUAAAACGUCCAUCAAACCUGUGAUUUAUGACUAAUAGAUCACCAGUGCCUGACCCAAAUGAUAACAAAAGAACACUUACAAUUACUUAAAUGCAAAACAUUAAAAAUACUAACCUACCUAUCCAAAUUCCAUCACACCGACCAAAGGAUACUAUGAUCUAAAAAGUGAGUUGCUAACUACUUUGCAUUGUAUGAGAAGAAUCCAAGUGAGCAGAGUAAGAAACUGGUUCAAGAUUGGUACCAAAUGUGCUCUUUUGGCCUAAUUUGAAAUUAGCAGACAAUUUACAGAAUAGUGAUUAAAUAGUGAGAGACAACCAUUCCUUUUAACGUCUGAUAUCAUGAAACAGUGAUACAACAAUUUCAAGCUUCAAUCCCAAAUCCAGCCUCCUUAUAAGAAAUAUCUUAAACCUCCUUAUCACAAUGCAAACAGAGGCAAAGGAGGAAACUUUUCAGGGACAUGAUUGUGAUGACCACUAAAUCCAAUAGAAACAUCAAGCAAGUAGUUGUGAGAUUUAGUGGUUGAUAUUUAGGAAUCAGUUAUCAAAACUGGGGAAGGUACAUUUUUAUGAACUCCCAAUAAAAUAUAAAGAGGUAUUUUGUCCAGAUCUUUGGCCUAAAUUUGGGGCUGCAAAAUGAAUGACUUCCCCAGCAGCUUGUUAUAGGGAAAAGUACAUUUAUUUGGGAGGUCACUGUUUUUUGGGAAGCAUUUUUACACUUUGAGUGAUGGUUAACUGCCGCCCGGUGGGUUUUUAUAGACAGACAAGUAAUACUCAAAGGAUACAUACAGUAAGUAUAAGUAGGAUUUUAAAAAUAUUAUAAACACCCCAAAACACACUAACGUGAGCAGGGAGGGUUUUUUUUGUUUAGGAGAGUGUAUUGCCAGCAAAAUGCUAGUAGCAUUAAAAAGACUGACAUGAAAAUGCGGCUAUAAGGGAAACUAAUUAUAGCUCAAUUUAUAAUCCCAAAUGCCAUUACAGCACUAGGUAAAUUGCUAACUUGGAUGUAAAGGUAAAGCCUGGUACCCAUGCUAUGUGUUUAGGAAGAAUUUGAGAUUAGAAUUAAAGGGACACUAUAGUCACCAGAACAACUACAGCUUAUUGAAUCUGUUCUGGUGAGUAGAAUCAUUAUCUUCAGGCUUUUUACUGUAAAAACGGUCUUUUUACAGAAAAUGCAAUGUUUACACUACAGCCUAGUGAUAACUUCAUUGGCCACUCCUCAGAUGGCCGUUAGAGAUCCUUCCUGGGUCAUGGCUGCCUAAAAUGCAUCCAAACUUUCAGUAUCACCUCCCUCUGCAUGCAGACACUGAACUUUCCUCAUAGAUAUUCAUUGAUUCAAUUCAUCUCUAUGAGGAGAUGCUGCUUGGCCAGGGCUGUGUUUGAAUCAUGCUGACUCUGCCCCUGAUCUGCCUCUUUGUCAGUCUCAGCCAAUCCUAUGGGGAAGCAUUGUGAUUGGAUCAGGCUACCACUUCUGAUGAUGUCAGCAGACUGCUUGUUUUUCUGAGUCUAACAGCAUGCAGAGUUACAGCUUCAAGCUGAAUACAGUAAGAUUUUUUUUCCCUUUAUUUAUGGAGGCAUGAGGGGCCCAGGGGGGCUAGAUUGUGGUUUAACACUAUAGGGUCAGGAAUACAUGUUUGUGUUCCUGACCCUAUAGUGAUCCUUUAAGGAGCCUUCAUUCAAGUUGGUGUGGACCGCUAAUCUUAAAUCUCAGCCAGUGAAUGAAUCAUGUUAGUUAACGUCCACAGCAUCCAAAACAUCUUUCUUUCCUGGGUCUUUAAAUAUACUGUGCUCUUAUUAACUGUUCACUUUAAACAGUGACAUUUAAAAUAAAUCUCUUGACACCAAUAAUUUAAGCCCUUACUAAUAGUAGGAGAUUUAGGUCUUUAUUUGAGAGAAUAGAUAGGAUUUGUAAUCUGGAUAUUUUUCUAUAUUUUAGAGGUCUGUUUCUGGGGGG
rnacentral:lncRNA from 1 species